rnacentral:rRNA from 1 species
GAUGAACGCUGGCGGCGUGCCUAAUACAUGCAAGUCGAGCGAACGGACGAGAAGCUUGCUUCUCUGAUGUUAGCGGCGGACGGGUGAGUAAAACGUGGGUAAACUACCUAUAAGACUGGGAUAACUUCGGGAAACCGGAGCUAAUACCGGCUAAUAUUUUGAACCGCAUGGUUCAAAAGUGAAAGACGGUCUUGCUGUCACUUAUAGAUGGAUCCGCGCUGCAUUAGCUAGUUGGUAAGGUAACGGGUUACCAAGGCAACUAUGCAUAGCCGACCUGAGAGGAUGAUCCGCCACAUUGUAACUGGGACACAGCACAGACACCUGCGGGAGGCAGCAGUAGGGAGUGUUCCGCAAUGGGCGAAAGCCGGACGGAGCAACGCCGCGUGAGUGAUGAAGGUCUUCGGAUCGUAAAACUCUGUUAUUAGGGAAGAACAUAUGUGUAAGUAACGGUGCACAUCUUGACGGGACCUAAGCAGAAAGCCACGGCUAACUACGUG